rnacentral:rRNA from 1 species
UACAGAGGGGGCAAGCGUUGUUCGGAAUUACUGGGCGUAAAGGGCGCGUAGGCGGCCUGUUAAGUCGAACGUGAAAUCCCCGGGCUCAACCCGGGAACUGCGUCCGAUACUGGCAGGCUUGAAUUCGGGAGAGGGAUGUGGAAUUCCAGGUGUAGCGGUGAAAUGCGUAGAUAUCUGGAGGAACACCGGUGGCGAAGGCGGCAUCCUGGACCGAUAUUGACGCUGAUGCGCGAAAGCCUGGGGAGCAAACAGG